rnacentral:rRNA from 1 species
GACGAACGCUGGCGGCGUGCCUCAAACAUGCAAGUCGAGCGGACGGAGACCGAACCGCAAGGGGAGGUUGAAGUUAGCGGCGAACGGGUGAGUAACACGUGGGUAACCUACCCUAAAGUCUGGGACAACGGCCCGAAAGGGCCGCUAAUACCGGAUAAUGUCUUCGGGUCGCAUGGCCUGGGGAAGAAAGCCGAAAGGCGCUUAUGGAUGGGCUCGCGUCCCAUCAGCUAGUUGGUAAGGUAACGGCUUACCAAGGCGACGACGGGUAGCCGGUCUGAGAGGAUGGUCGGCCACACUGGGACUGAGAUACGGCCCAGACUCCUACGGGAGGCAGCAGUUGGGAAUAUUGGGCAAUGGGGGCAACCCUGACGCAGCCAUGCCGCGUGUGUGAAGAAGGCCUUCGGUUGUAAGCACUUUCAGUGGGGAGGAAAGGGACGCGUGGCUAAUAUCCAGUGCAGUUGACGCUACCCACCAGAAGAAGCACCGGCUAAUUCCGUGCCAGCAGGCGCGGUAAGCUGU